rnacentral:rRNA from 1 species
UACGAAGGGUGCAAGCGUUAAUCGGAAUUACUGGGCGUGAAGCGUGCGUAGGUGGUCUUUUAAGUCCGUUGUGAAAGCCCUGGGCUCAACCUGGGAAUGGCAGUGGAUACUGGAAGGCUGGAGUACGGUAGAGGAGGGUGGAAUUCCCGGGUGUAGCGGUGAAAUGCGUAGAGAUCGGGAGGAACAUCAGUGGCGAAGGCGGCCCUCUGGACCAGUACUGGACGCUGAGGCACGAAAGCGUGGGGAGCAAACAGGG